rnacentral:misc_RNA from 1 species
CGGACAUUCAGAGACUGUUGUAAAUUUAUAGUUGUUCAGUAUUCCAUCGGCUAUUGAAACCGGCUGUCGUUCGUAGUGUGGUUUGUUUCGUAUUUCUGUUUAGAGCAACGGACGAACGAUGAGGAUGUUCGCUCUAUCAACAGCGUUCUGCAACACCAUGCAGCUGUUGACGUUGCUAACAUUGUUGUUGUUUGCGGUAAGAUCGUCCAGCGAGGGACAAAAGCCACCAGUGAAACAAUUGAGUAUAUUGGCGUUUUUGCCGACCGAAGGUAAAAGUCAUUUCAUGGGCUUCAAACCGUUACUCGAAAAUCUUGUUUCCAGAGGACAUAAUGUCACACUGGUUGCACCGUUUCCACUGGACGGUGCUAAACGGCCGUAUCGUCACGUCAAAGUCGAGAAGACGUUGGCAGACUUCGACAUGCUGAAAGUGGCGAAAUACGUGAACCUCGUACCGACGCCGUUGCACUUGUGGUGGUUUGGGCCGCACAUCAGCGAGACGAGCCUGGACAAACCGUCGGUGGCGGACUUCAUCAAGACCGACCGGUCGUCGUUCGACUUGGUGAUGUUCGAGAACUUCUACCACGAGUGUUUCGUGGCCAUCGGACACAAGUACGGCGCCCCCGUGGUGCAGUUGCUGCCGUUCGCCGCCAACUCGAGGGUGUCGCAGUGGCAGAGCAACCCGUACAACCCCGCCUACAUACCGGACCUGGUCAGCACGUUCGGGUCGAACAUGACGUUCGCGCAGCGCACCACCAACGCGGUGUCCGCGUUCUUCUACACGUCCGUCUCCCGGCUGGUGUACAUGCCCCGGCAGCGGGCCGUUGCCGAAAAGCACUUCGUUUACCCGGGACACGAAAGCCGGCCCGACCUCGUCGACAUGCUUCGGAACGUAUCGCUGACGCUGGUCAACAGUCACCCGGUCGUCGGUUCGGCCGUGCCAAUGGUGCCCAGCUACGUGCACGUGGCCGGCAUGCACUGCGUGCCCGCCGGUCCGUUGCCUGAAGACCUGAAGCAGAUAAUGGAUAAUUCUAAAGAAGGUGUAGUCUACUUUAGUUUAGGAUCAGUGGUAAAAUCGUCCAAAAUGCCCAAGGAAACAGUAUCACUGUUACUGUCAGAACUCUCGAAAAUCGAACAGACUGUCCUAUGGAAAUGGGAAGCGGAAGACGUACCGCAACUACCCAAGAAUGUCAUCAUUCGAAAAUGGUUUCCCCAAAAUGACAUACUAGGUCAUCCAAACUGCAAAUUAUUUAUCACGCACGGUGGAGUACAAAGCACCACGGAGUCCGUCUAUCACGGAGUGCCCAUGUUAGCCAUACCCGUUUUUGGCGACCAAAAGGGUAAUUCACUACGCGCACAGUACAGAGGCAUAGCUAUACAAGUGCCGUACUUUGAGUUGACACACGAAGCGUUUGGCAGUGCACUGCACAAACUGCUCAUCGAUCCGACGUACCGGGAAAACGCCAAAAAGUCGUCGGCCCUGUUCAGGGACAACCCGUUGCCGCCGCUGGAAAAGGCUGUAUUUUGGAUCGAGUACGUUGCCAGGCACGGCGGUGCGAAACAUCUACGGACGGCCGCCAACGACCUUUAUUGGUUCCAGUACAUGCUUUUGGAUGUCCUGUUGCUGGUGUUAUCCGUGAUCGUAUUGAUGGCGUGGAUGACCAAAAAAAUGCUUUGUUGCGUGUUCGGCCGGUGUUGUCGUCGCGGCCGAAAUGUUGCCUCGCCGCCAGCAGCGGGGAAAAAAACUCAGUGAUAUGAUAAUGAGCACAGCCCAAUAUGCAAUCGACUAUCGUUCCGCUCGGAGUUCAAAAAGAAAAAAAAUCGAGUCUAUUUCACAGCUAUACGCUACGACACCGCGCAAACGAUGACUCUCCUGUACGUAUGGUUAAUUGUGUGUACAAAUAAAAUUAAAAUCGCAAAAAUAAUAUUUUAAAUCGAAAAACAAUGUUUUAAAUCUACUUAGAAAUCGUUGGACGAUAAUUAAAUAAAUCGGUAUUGUACAAAGAUAAAAAUAAUAUAUAAAAUUAUAAAAUCGAUGUAUCAUUUUUUAUUCGAAUUAGAAAAGAAAACGAAUAUCAAUAAGUGAAACUGAAAUUAAAAUCAAAAAUUUAAUUUUGAUUCCAAAAGCCCUGAUCAUUAUUUACUGUAAAAUUCGACGAAACCAUGAACGUCUUUCCAUUACAUUUAUUACUUUUACACAAUAUUAUUAUGAAUUAUAAUAGGUUAGGUUAAAUAGGUUACAUUACGAAUCGCGAUAAUAACACUACACGUCAAUAAUCAAUAUUACUUACCUAUACCGUAGUGUGGGGCAGACGUAUAAUCCAUGACAGUCGCGCUUUGUCGCCAGUUCGCCUACACGAAACUAAUACUUUUCUAUAGUUAAUAAACGUAAUGAAUCGUUUUAUUUUAUUUUGUACGUAUUACAUAGUUAAAUGUUUAUAUUAAAUUUCAGCCACGUAAAAAACAUUUAAAAACUAAAAACGAAAUUUAACACAACUGCAUUUAACAAUAAUAAGUAAUUUAUUAUUGUAUUAAUAAUUAAUAUACAUCUGUCAUAAACAAUAUGAUGAACUCUGAUAUAGGUGGUACAGCUCAAAAUUAUUACAUAAAUGAUUUAAUACUUAUUGAAUAAAAUCGUGUACCUUAUAUAUGCAUAUUGUGCAAACCCAUUAUGAGAUAAUAUAAUAUUCAUUUUCCUCGAGGUUUUGAAAAUCAAAUAUUUAAAUUAUUAUUAAAUAUGCGAUGAAUAAAAAUUAUAUUUCAUAUGAUACAUGCUGUAUUGUUGUGAUGUCGUCACAAUGUUCGAAAAUGUUUCUUGGCGGAUUGUACACGCUUGACACUUAUCUAAUGCAUCUAUAAGCUAGGUAUAUGAAAUUAAUAAAAUAAUGAAACAAUUUUUUUUUUUUACAUUUUAUUUAUUACGAUGGUUUUUAAAAAUAUUAAUUCGUAAAAGGUGAUGAAUGAAGACUGAAAAAGUAAAAAACAUUCUUUUAAACCCUUCCAAAAACAUUUAAUACUCGUAUAUAUAAAAAUUCAAAACAACUUAAGUGUAUUUGGAUAAUAGUACGUGAAAUAAACACAAUCAACUAUAAUUAUAGGUAUAGUAUGUAUAGCAGAUACUAAUUACUAAUUAAGUAGACAUAUAUUUUUGUAUUUAUGUAUAGUAAACACAUUUUGUCUAUGAAUUAUUAUAUAUUUACUCGGAUAAAUAAGAUCAGUUCAUAAAUAUUCGCUUAAUAUUUUCUGAAAUCGCGUGUUCGUAAAUUCAAUUACAUCUCCAAUUAUUAUACUUUUUAUGCAACUUAAUUGAAUUUUUCUA